GGUCCUAAGAAAGCCUCCGUUCAAUUGGUAAAUUGUGGUGUGUGUUCAAGUAAACAGGCAGAGACAGAAGCUGAGUCUGGUCGAGCGUGUGUAUUUACAAACUAUAUACAAACACAAAAGAUAACAAUAAUAAAGUGAGGGACAAGAGCGGUGCUAAAGAAACGAACUCAAUAAAACAAACACAUCAACUAGAUCUCAGGUACAAAUACUUAACUAACAAAAGAAAACAGGAAAGCAACAUCUUCAGCGUAGAACACCACUAACUACGCUGCCUAAUAACAGAAGUACAAGGAUUGGCAUCCGCUCGUAACCUAGUGUGUCUAAACAGUUUCGCUCUGUGUGAUGAAAUGUAAGUCACGUGACAAAUUAACCUGGUCCCAAUCACUAUGUAUCGGAGAAGGAAUGGAAUAGGCACCGUUAAACUGAAAGUCGAGUCACAGAAUAGACCUCGAUAACUGUAUGGAACAGUUCACAAAGCGAACAACUUAACACACAAUAACUAAACACAGAAUUAGAAAUAAACCAAGGCAAAACAACAACAGGUAAGCAAACGCAGGUGAGCAAACAACCAUCUAAGUCAACGCCCCUCUCCCGCGCUCGUGUCACAUCCGGGUCUUUACACCCGCUUCGAAUGUUAUCACACUAUUGAAUGGAUGUUAUUAGUGGUUAAUGGGCCCAUCGAUAUGGUCCAGUAGGGGCAUGCUGUGGCUACUGGAAGGCUCAGAAGGUUGUUAUCACCUAUCAAAUGCUCAAUCAAUGAAUACAACUACAAGAGAAGACGCCAAAUCCACUCAGAGGAAUCCAGUUGAUCGGGAAUCCACUUCACCGAUGACUGGACUGGACGUCGACUGGAUAACGCGGCAACGUUGUGCACUUUCCUGGUUAAUUGUUUCAGAUUUCAGAUAUGGGAAAAGCUGUUAAGCGCACACACUUCAGGAAUGUUAAGAUUAAGGUGGUGAGGACUUCUAUCACUGGCAAAGUUUUCUUACCUCGGUCAAGCUCCUCCUCAGCCCAACUCCAAACGCACCCACUCUUUGGACCCUUCCACAUCUAUUACGCCUCAACAGGCUGAACCUUAUGAUGUGGCACCAAGCUGUAGUUGUGCAUGUUCUGAGACUGCAUACAGUAAGAUAAAGAAGAGAGAGCUUCAUGCCUGGGAUGCAGUCAAGGAUGACAUGCUUAAGGUGUCGUUUGAAUGUUCGGCACCAUUCACUACCCAGUGUGUUGUCUGCCUAGAAAAACAUGCUGAUUAUAGAUGCAUUGAGUGCAGCACCACUGCAGUGUUUUGUGAGGCUUGUCUGAAGAGGCUUCACAGAAAUUCACUGCAUCUUCCUGAUAAGUGGAAUAAUGCCUACUAUGAGCCAUCCUCCCUGGGGUUAUUCCUAUAUUUACCUGAAGGCCAUAACACCCAUACUGUGUA